AUUGAACGCUGGCGGAAUGCUUUACACAUGCAAGUCGAGCGGCAGCACGGGGGUAACCCUGGUGGCGAGCGGCGAACGGGUGAGUAAUACAUCGGAACAUGCCCAGUCGUGGGGGAUAACACUUCGAAAGAAGUGCUAAUACCGCAUACGUCCUGAGGGAGAAAGCGGGGGAUCUUCGGACCUCGCGCGAUUGGAGUGGCCGAUGUCAGAUUAGCUAGUUGGUGGGGUAAAGGCCUACCAAGGCAACGAUCUGUAGCUGGUCUGAGAGGAUGAUCAGCCACACUGGGACUGAGACACGGCCCAGACUCCUACGGGAGGCAGCAGUGGGGAAUUUUGGACAAUGGGGGCAACCCUGAUCCAGCCAUUCCGCGUGAGUGAAGAAGGCCUUCGGGUUGUAAAGCUCUUUCGGCAGGAACGAAACGGCGAGCUCUAACAUAGCUUGCUAAUGACGGUACCUGAAGAAGAAGCACCGGCUAACUACGUGCCAGCCGCCGCCGUAAUAC
rnacentral:rRNA from 1 species